UCUCUUUAACUUGACUCUAUUUUUUUCUCUCCCCGUCUCUUCCCUGGCCUUGCGCUCGCUCUUCCUGCCCUGUAGCCGUGGGCGUCCAAAUGAAGCUGGAAUUCCUCCAGCGCAAAUUCUGGGCGGCAACGCGGCAGGAUCUGAACUGCUUCGUCAUUGACAACAACGGGUUCAUUCUGAUCUCCAAGAGGUCCCAAGAGAUGGGAAGAUUUCUGGGGGAGGUGGAUGGUGCUGCCAUGACCCAGCUGCUCAGCAUGGGGGUGUUCAGCCAAGUGACCAUGUAUGACUAUCAGGCCAUGUGCAAACCCUCGAGUCACCACCACAGCGCAGCCCAGCCCCUGGUCAGCCCAAUUUCUGCCUUCUUGACGGCGACCAGGUGGCUGCUGCAGGAGCUGGUGCUGUGAGUGGGGGUAGACAUGGGGCUGGUGGAGGGCUGCAUGCGAGGGUAGCUUAGGAGGGUGUCCUUGAGCAGGAGGCUGCAAGGUCUCCAGGACAACCCACUUGCUACCAGACCCCGGGGAAGGAGGGCACAAUCCCUGGGCAUGGACACCACCUCUU
rnacentral:sRNA from 1 species